GACAGAGGGUGCAAACGUUGUUCGGAAUUACUGGGCGUAAAGCGCGUGUAGGCGGCUUGGCAAGUCGGAUGUGAAAGCCCAGGGCUCAACCCUGGAAGUGCACUCGAAACUGCCGAGCUUGAGUCCCGGAGAGGAAGGCGGAAUUCUCGGUGUAGAGGUGAAAUUCGUAGAUAUCGAGAGGAACACCUGUGGCGAAGGCGGCCUUCUGGACGGUGACUGACGCUGAGACGCGAAAG
rnacentral:rRNA from 1 species